rnacentral:misc_RNA from 1 species
GCAUCACCGCCAAGCGACACUGCCUGAAAAAUGUCUAUAUCAUAUCAACCCAGCAAUAAUGCUACUGGCACUUGAGUAGAUGUCGCUGUUCCACUCGGCAGCCAAAACGGCGCCGUCUGAACUUUCCACUGAAGCACACUGAAGCGCGCACGUCAAAUGCCAAUUCAACUCGGCUGUUUGAACGAGACUUCACACAAUUGAAAAAAAUGGAUAAAAAUGAAAACAACCUACACGAGUCUACAGAAGAGUCUUCUGCUGGCACUUAUUGUAAAGAAAUCACACCUAUUCUGAGCAGAAACGCCGUGGAUCAGUCGAUUAUCAGCAAAAUAACCGAGGAGCUGAAGAUAAAGCGCCUGACGAUGGAGCUUGCAGAAAUGGAUGCAAAGAUCGCGACCAUUCAAAAACGAAUAGCCCGAGAUGAAAAACAAGGCGCAGAGCUGGACAGGCAAUUGCACAACGCCACUGAAAUGGAAGGGCAAUCAAUGCGCUGCUUUAAAAGAACCGAAAAGAUGUUCACGGUGCUGGUGGAUGAGUGCGACAAGCUGAAAAACGAGUACAAAAACCUCGAAGGCCGACAGUUGGAAUUUACCACCAAGGUUGAGGAAUUGAUACUCAAAAAUCAGACAAUCCGGGAUAUGCAGCAAGAAAUCGAAAAUUUGGAGCAGCAAAUAAAAGAGAUCUUGAACGCUCCAAAACCUAGCCUAGACGAGAAUCUUGUCCAAGAAAAUCUUCAACUCCGCAUAAAGUAUCAAAAGCAGGUGCAAGAGAUAGCCAAUAAACGCUUGAAACAGAGCCAACUGGCAGAAUUAACGCACCGAAAAUGCAAGCUGUUGCAAGAAAUAUGUAUGGCGCAAACCAGAAACAAAGAACUCCAAGAAAAGGUCACCGCAAAGAAGCAAGUUUCCGAGAAAAACCGAAACAUGCUGCAGGCCAAGUUUGCCCAAAUCCAGGACAAAAUUGCCAGCAAUGUAAGUACGAGAAACGAGCUGCUGAACGGCAUUAAAGAAUCAGAAGAACGAGUAGAAGAUAUCACAUCAAAGAUAUUCUCGAAAAAAUCCCAACAUCUUCUAAUGGUUCAAGAAAAAAAACUAGAACUAGCCGAAUUGCGCUCCUCAAAACAGAGCGAGCUCGCCAAUGAACAGCUCAAGCGAGCUGAAGAACAAGACCAAUUAAAAAGCUUGAACGAAAAGCUGGAAGCUGAGAGGCAGGAAGUUGACGAAUGGCAAGCAAAAAAACAAGCCCUUGACAACCAACUGCAAUUUCUGAAGAACCAGCUUACAGAUCUUUCGACGAGCUUAGAAAAUCGCCUUGCCAAAGCCGAUGCUGACUCUAGGGAAAAGAAAGAUCUAUUGCUUAAACAACAUAGUUUGGAGGCGGGGAAAAUCGAGUUUUUAGAGUUGCAGCGCAACGAAAACUUGAACAAAGUUAAAGAUACUCAGAAGGAUCUAAAAAAACAAGAAACUCUGUUAAAGUGGGAGCAUAUGCAGUACCAGUUCGUGCAAAAUGAUGCUGCAAAGUUAGGGAUCGACACAUCAACUAUAAUUAACUCCCAGAAAACCAACAAGUAUACCACUAAUAUAAAUCAGGAAAAUAUGAAAGUGGAAGUAACUGAGAUAGAGGAAGACGAACUAACAAGCGGACAAAAAUCACCGGGAAUUUUAAAGUCGCCGGGCAGAGCUAUUUUUCAGAAAACGGACAAACACGUCAGUUUUGAGGGUCUGUCGUCCACGGAAUCCUCUACAUCGGGCGUGGCAACCAAAGACGGAAGGGCCGUAAAUCCGGAUCUAAAUGAGGAUGAAUUUGAUAAACUAAUCGACGAAUGGGCCAUAACUAUGCCAUCGACUAAAAGGCGUAAACAUUUUGAUUUUUGAAAACAUCUUCAAUUCCAAAUACGUACCCAGUUCAUAAGUGUUAUGUAUGUUUAAGUUGCUAUAGAUGGUAAAUAACUAGGAUAAGGGCUGAUUUGGCCGUCGUUCGGUAGAAUUUCUUCGUGACGUCUCGCAAGCUCGGGUGGCUUGCAUCUUCAGAAGUGGUUUGCUUGAACGCUUACACUGUUCUGAUGAUCUUACACAUCACAUCAGAACGGUGUAAGCAGUAAAUUUGUAUUUUGGGCAUUGCGAGUACAAUAUGGUGAUAGUGCUAUCGGAUAUGUGGAAUUGAAACGCGAGGGUUCUUUGUGAACUGUACAAGAUAGAAUUUGUCCAGAACACAGAGUAUGAUGAAGGCAUAUUCUGUCUGCCUCAUCAUUAGCUUUUUGUUCGUACUUUCAUUAAAAUGCUCCUCGCAACAAAAAACACUGAUUUUGAUUUAGGAACAUCACGUCUAGCUGCUUUGAACCAUAAAACUUUACGGCCAUAAUUAUGGAGAACGGUUAAAAGAGUUUGUUUGGAGCACUUAUUGAGGUAUUUUUGCAUCCUGGCACAA